CCUGAUCCAGCCAUGCCGCGUGUGUGAAGAAGGCCUUCGGGUUGUAAAGUACUUUCAGUAGGGAGGAAGGUGGUUAAGUUAAUACCUUAAUCAUUUGACGUUACCUACAGAGGAAGCACCGGCUAACUCCGUGCCAGCAGCCGCGGUAAU
rnacentral:rRNA from 1 species